CUGAGUUCAUGAGUUGAUGGUAUUGUAUAGAAUGAUUCACAAUACCUUGCAGCAUUUAAACUGAGAAAUUCAAUCUUUCCAAAGAAUUAUUGAAUUGGACUAUCACAUUUUAAUUAAAACCAAGGUUAGGCAGCUGAUCAGUUCCGCACUAACCCCGAGCAGGCCCCGCCAUGCUCUAUUACUGGAUCCAAGGCACUCAUUGGCCUAACAUGACCACGAAUCUGGUCCACAGGUUUAUAUAAAAACAAUAAUCCAAUUCUCUAAUUCAAUUCAAGAAGCCAAUGUAAAUUAACAGAACAUCAUCAUAAAUAUCAUCAACAACGGAAUAAUUCCAAAUCAAACUUUGAUAAUAAACUUUCCAUGAGUCACCGUCCAUCCAUCCAUAAAUCAGAGUUCAGGAAAUCCCUAACUAUUCAAUAUCCUCCAUUAUCGGCUAAUCAACUGAAUUUAGCCUGCUAGACCAGCAUGACAAUGGCGGGUUGAAUAAUCAAGAAGAUCCCAAUUCAUUCAAAGCUCUAACUAUCACUGAGCAACACAUGCUUCAAUGACAAUCUGAACUUCGAAUUAAUUUGUAAAACGGAAAUUAUCUGAAUUUUUGAGGAUUAGAAAAGGAUGGAUAAAAAUAUUUGCACUUGCCAAAUAUGAAAAAGAGAGGAACGAAUAUUUGCAACACAUACGAAAAGAAUGGAUCAGAAUAAUCGCAAGAUAUCCAAAAGAAGGGUAUAGGAUACUUGCCUUAAAUCUGACUCCAGUCUCACAUCUCAAUCUCAUCUUUCCACUUUCACAAUCUAUGCAUCUCAUAGUCUCUAGACCAUCUCUGGCUAUACUCUAUCUACCGUACAUCUUCGCUUCGCUUACUCGAUUCAUCCCUUAUUCGCUUUGUAACACCACGUGACUUUCUGAACGUCUUCGGGCAUACACGUCUCGUCCAAAUCCUUUACGAGAAUAAGAUAACACUAUAAUCACUAAACAAUCGAUCGCAUAUACAUCUCACGUAUAUCGAUACCCACUUAUAUAUCCCUUUAAACUUAUCAGAUACCACGUAACACAUAAGCAUGCUUUAACUCUAACAUAUAGUCAAUCAUAUUCCACAUAACAUAUCACCAAUCAAUUAUCAUAUAAAUCCUUAUCGAAAAUCCGACAUCGUCUCGUCUAUGUAUAAGACUAUCCACCUAUUAUCCUAUCUCAAUCAUUAAUCAACCAACAAAAUCCAAUAGCUAUAAUCCAUAUAUUCUUAUCCAAUAUCAAUCAUACGAAUCAUUUAUCACUUCACAAUAUCAAAACUAACACGUACUUCACAUAAUCAUCACUUGAUAGCACUUAGAUCACAUAUUAUCACAUUAUGCAUACUUAUCAACAAUUAUUCACCUUAUAGACUCAGCCAUAUAGUCACAUCAUAUUAAAAUAGACGUUAUAAGCUUCUGUCUCUCUUUCGUUUCACUUGAUUCCGACUUACGGAUCAAAAGUUAUGCUCAAAACAGUUUUCUCACUCUCCUAUCGGCACAUAACACAUCCAACCAAUAGCAGACAACACACAACACAUAAGGUUUCCCAUCCCAAUUGAUAUUAAAUCAAGUCUUGGGUUAAAAAUGAUUUUUCGGGAAUUUUCCAGAAUUUUUAAACAUUUUUCGGAAUUAAAAUCGAUAAAAGAAUCACUUUUCGAAUAAAUAAUCAAGUCCCAAAUACUUGAAAUUGGACUUGAAAUCAUUCAUAAACAAUUAUCGAGCCUUGAAAAUAAUUUGGAAAAAUAUUUUAAAGCUCGAAACUAUUUUUCGGAAUUUUUAAAUCAAAAAGGAUAAUUAAAUCCAAUUAAUUAAUCAAUUAAAAUCAAUUAAUAAUUAAUUAAAAUAAUUAAUCAAUUAAUAUUUAAAUUAAUUGACCAAUUAAAAUAAUUAAUUACUAAUUAAAAUUAAUUAAUAAAUCAAAUUAGAUUUAUUUUUCAAUAAAGAGAUAAUUAAAAAGCAUUUUUGAAUUUAAAAUCAAUAAUUUUCGAAUUUAAAAUAAAUAAAUAAAAUGUUUUUGAAAAGAUUUAAAACUCCAGGGUUCACUGUGCAAACUUUAUGAAACCUGGGGGGUCAAACAGCAAAAUGCCGUCUUCCUCCCCCCCGUCUCGCCGGAACGGCGUCGGAAACCGACCGGCGAGUCACAGACUGCCCAGACGGCACCCAAACACUGCAGAUACACUCUACGCUUUCCCAUAAACAUAUUUACAAGCUUCGUUUUUGCAGGAGAUUAGCGAACUGGCCGGAAAAUCGACCGAAAGCUUCGCCGGCGGCGAGCUUUCGUCGACUCCGAGGGCCUCAUACACGGCUCCUCCGUCAAUUCCAAACCCAGUCGUACACUCCUCUUCUCAUCCUCUAUCCAUUCAUGUAACCCACUACUGCCCAGACUCCCUGGAUCAAUUUUCCGGUCAAAACUCAUAACUUUCCGGCCAAAUACUCAAGAACACCAAGAACACUCAAACCCACGAAUCAAACUGACUUUUCAAGGUGUUAUUGAACUCAAAAAUUGACAUAUAAUAUACCAAAACGACGAGAAAAACAUGCUCUACAUCAUAGAAUCAUCAAAACAAUCAAACAACCACGUUUGCAAAAAUUCACUAUUUAAAACAUAAUACUUCGAAUUUUAAACCUUCAAUUACUCCCUACCUGUGAAUCUCAUGUUGUUUUUGAUCAUUGAUAUGGAUUCUACUCCUCGAUAUCUUCGAUUUGACUAUUCGCACGCUUAAUUCUGACUCCAAUAACACCUUCAAAUCUUCGUUUGAUUAUGAAGAACACGAAGAACACUGCUCGGUUUCUCUCGGUAUUCGUGCAGAGAAACUGGUGAAAAUGAUUUACGGUUGAAAAUAAGCUCUAGAAAGGUAUAUUUAUAUUUACAAAUAAUUGGUACCCCUUUGGAUCGUUUAUGACAUGAAAAUACGUAUUUAAUAGCUUUAUAUUAAGAAAGUGGGGUCCAAUCGGUACUAGUUUUCGAGAUAAUCAUCAAAACGGGGCUUUUUAACUCAAUUAUUGGUCUGCGGGUCCCACUGCAAUUAUUACAAGAUAAGGAUGAAGAAAAUAUCUCGUUUCACGCUUAUCGAGACAAACGGAUAAUUAUCAAAUACCGAAAAACUCCGCCGGACCGGCUCCGGAACAAACCGUACUCCGGAUCGAAAAAGUCAAAACACGAAAAAUGUCCGGAAUAUUAAAAUUAGGCUAAAGGUGAGCUUUGUUGAAACUUCCGGAAAGAAAAUUUGCUACCUCGUUACGAGUGGACGGUUUUACGGAAGUCAAAUAAUUAAUAAAUCAAUAUAAAUAUACACAAUUAAAUCCGUAAAUCGAUUAUAAAAUUAUCUAACAUUCCAUAAAUCGAUAUGAAAAUAUCCAAAUAAACUAUAUUUUCUCCUGAGCAUAUAGAAAUUGAUAUCUCUCAAAUACGAACACAUAUGAGCAGUUAACGCAAUAAACCAGAUAAUAUAAAAUUCACAAAAAUCCAUAUUUUAAUCAUAUAAUACUCAUAAUUAACCAUAAUUAAUUAACCAACAAAUCCACCAAUACCACUUACUCACAUCACACAUAUAUGCACAUAAUAAUCAUCUAGAAUUUUCGAAACAAUAUAUGAAAAUCAGUUUUAAAAAUACAAUUAUUUAUCAAUAACACAAUAACCCGGGGUUUAAAUAUAAACCUUUGAAAACUCAUUAAACUGGAAUAAAAUAUUAAAUCUUAUUCCUUUCUUUUUAAGAAAAUCAUUUUUAAUACUAAUAAAAAUAUUUUUAAAAAUCCGGGUUAUUACAAUCUACCCUCCUUAUAGGGAUUCCGUCCUCGGAAUCAGAGAAAGACGGAGGAUGCAUAAUUUGUAAAAUCCAUAUCAAUCCGCAAAACAAGUAUAACCACAUAAACUAUUCACAUAAUCAAUUCACUUUUCGAUUAAAGCCAACAACAAUAUUUAGACAAAUAGAUUUAUAAUAAUCAAAUCUAAAUUUAAUAAUAUGGGAUAUUACAUUCUACCCCCCUUAUAAGGAUUCCGCCCUCGGAAUCCGCAAAGAGAACUCAAACGUAUCACUUAUAAGAUUCCACUAUACGCUUCGUAAUAACGUAUCAUCAUUCACCUUUGAUCGGCCUUGGCAUACCUUUGACUUUAAAGAAAUUUGAGAAUCAACUUUCACAAUUGCAAAAUUCAUUUCCCAAAAAUCAAUCUUUGGGAAUUUUGAACAGAACAAGAUGUUUUCAAGGUAGAUCAUAUUUGAAUAAAGGAGUGACUGAGAGAUCUAUAUGAUCAACGAACUUGGUGUUGCGUGUCCACAUUAGACACUACUAAAGGUUGUUAACCUUCUUGUAAUCACAACACACACAAGUGAUGGCGUCCCAUCCAACUCCUAUCACACAGACAGGUAUACCUUGUGUCCCCUAUAAAUAGGGUUGUUCAUCCCAAUCAAAUUGAAUAAAUGUCAAGGAAUAUCAAAGAAUGUCAAGGAAUAUCAAAGAUAUCAAAGAACAUCAAGGAAUAUCAAGGAAGAUGAAAGGGUAUCAAGGAAUGUCAAGAAAUGUCAAACAAUAUCAAGGAACAUCACUAUCUCUUCACAACAAACCUUUAUCACACAUCUUUGCUUUCCAACUCAUACCAAUAAUCAAUAUCAAUGUCAUCUUAGAAUUUGAGAAAUUGAAGAUCUCAUUUAUCAAAACUUUUGUAGAAAAGAUAUCAUGAUAAUAUCUCACUGAUGAGAAAACAAUCAAAAGAAUCUUUAGUUGAAGAGAGGUAUUGCCAAGGUCUUCUCAGAUUCUCACUCUACUUUACGAAAUCGUUAUUCGAUUUAUGUCAUCCUUUCAACGUUCUCGAUAAUCAAUCGAUUUGACUCGUAAUAGCCUCUUAAGAUGUCAUCGUAGACGUUAUCGUCCGUAAUAACUCUGGCCCAUGUAGUUUACAUUCUUCUACUUUAUCCCAGUUGCCUUUGAAAUCCAUAGCACAAACACGUAACGUAUCUUCGAUUGUCUGGAUCAUCAACCUGUGGGUUAUGGGCCCACCUUGAUGCCAUUUGAAAUCCCGAUUAGCUCGAAGCGUUGUCGUCGAGGACUAACGUUCUAACUUACUCGUAGACAUCAUCUCUAAUAACUGGACUCAAUUCCACGUACUCUCUAUCAUUCACUUCUCACCUAUCAACCUCUAUCUACCAAUCUCUCCUUCUAAUCCAAUACAACUCAUACUCUACACUUACUCUUCAUAUCUUCACUCAAAACAAUAUACAUCUUCCAAAUAUCUGACAUGGUCAACAUACUAUGAACCAUGCAUUUAUAUCAUCCUCAAAUCAAUACAAUAAUCCAAUUUUCAACUAUGCAGUAUAGUCAGAAUACUCUGAACUCUGCAUUUUCACCAUUCUCAACUCAAUCAUUCACUAUCAAACUCUUCCAUAUAGGUCUAAUACUGACCUUUUCCACAAUUCACCAUCUCAAUUAAUCAACAUACUAGAAAUCAUAUGUCUAAACUCAAGAAUCAAAAUCUUUCUAAACCUAUACACUCAACUUAAUCAUCUAACUAGAUUCUAAUCCUGACACAUCUCUAGACUAUUUCCAGAUAGUCUCACAAUACCUCUAUGUGAGGUUACACAACAUUCCUCAUCAAUAGAACUUAAAACUAUAAUCUAUAUUCUAAUUUCAAUUACUUAUAACCUGUCGCUCUGAUACCAACUGUGACAGCCCGAGAAUCCGGGGGUCUGGAUUCUGACGUCACCACACAAAACCCUUUUUAAAAUACUUUUGAAACCUGGUAUUUUCAUUUAAAGAUAAUGAAAAUCCAAAAGAAUUUAAAACUUGAAAACAUUUAUUAAAAGAUUUGAAUGAGAACAUAAAUCAAUGAUUUCAAAACCUGAAUUUCAAACUUGAAAACCAUAAUAAAAUAAUUUCCAGAGAACAUUUAAACUUUAAUAAAGGAUUCGAAAUAGAACAUUUAAACCCCCAAAAACAACAGGAUCGCUUCCAGGUUACAGUAUUAAAAUUAGAAUCUACCACUAUUUAUUACACAACAUCUCUUACCAAAUCAGAUCAUCUUCGAUAAGAAGAAUCACUGUCAACUAUUUCAGCUUGCACCAACCUCAUCCCUUUCCUGAACACUCCUUGACCACUGGAUCCUCAACUCUGUCUUCUCGCCUAGCAUUAGCCUUAUUCAUAAUCUCACUCCAUCAUCUCAUCUUUAAGCCUUUCUGAAAUGGUUAGAAAGGAAUAGCAAGGGUGAGCAACAAUGCUCAGCAAGUAAUAAUAAACACUGGUAAUUCUGAAAUGAUAUAACAGAAGUUCACGAGUUCAAGAUAUAAAAGGAUUCAACCUGAGUUCACGAGUUUAGGUAUUGUAUAAGAAAAUCACACUACCUUGCAGCAAUUUUGAAUACUGAGGAAUUCAAUCUUUCCAAAAGAAUUAUAGAAUUGGACUAUCACAUUUUAAUUAAAACCAAGGUUAGGCAGCUGAUCAGUUCCGCACUAACCCCGAGCAGGCCCCGCCAUGCUCUAUCACUGGAUCCAAGGCACUCAUUGGCCUAACAUGACCACGAAUCUGGUCCACAGGUUUAUAUAAAAACAAUAAUCCAAUUCUCUAAUUCAAUUCAAGAAGCCAAUGUAAAUUAACAGAACAUCAUCAUAAAUAUCAUCAACAACGGAAUAAUUCCAAAUCAAACUUUGAUAAUAAACUUUCCAUGAGUCACCGUCCAUCCAUCCAUAAAUCAGAGUUCAGGAAAUCCCUAACUAUUCAAUAUCCUCCAUUAUCGGCUAAUCAACUGAAUUUAGCCUGCUAGACCAGCAUGACAAUGGCGGGUUGAAUAAUCAAGAAGAUCCCAAUUCAUUCAAAGCUCUAACUAUCACUGAGCAACACAUGCUUCAAUGACAAUCUGAACUUCGAAUUAAUUUGUAAAACGGAAAUUAUCUGAACUUUUGAGGAUUAGAAAAGGAUGGAUAAAAAUAUUUGCACUUGCCAAAUAUGAAAGAGAGAGGAACGAAUAUUGGCAACACAUACGAAAAGAAUGGAUCAGAAUAAUCGCAAGAUAUCCAAAAGAAGGGUUCAGAAUACUUGCCUUAAAUCUGACUCCAGUCUCACAUCUCCAUCUCAUCUUUCAACUUUCACAAUCUAUGCCUCUCGUAAUCUCUAGACCAUCUCUAGUUAUACUUUAUUCGCCACAUCGCUUCGCUUCCUCGAUUCGUGCCUUAUUCGCUUUGCAAUAUCAUUUGACUUUCUGAACGUCUUUGGUCAUCCUCGUCUCGUCCAAAU
rnacentral:lncRNA from 1 species